UACGUAGGGGGCUAGCGUUGUCCGGAAUCAUUGGGCGUAAAGAGCGUGUAGGCGGUCCGGUAAGUCCGCUGUGAAAGUCGGGGGCUCAACCCUCGAAUGCCGGUGGAUACUGUCGGGCUUGAGUACGGAAGAGGCGAGUGGAAUUCCUGGUGUAGCGGUGAAAUGCGCAGAUAUCAGGAGGAACACCUAUUGCGAAGGCAGCUCGCUGGGACGUUACUGACGCUGAGACGCGAAAGCGUGGGGAGCAAACAGG
rnacentral:rRNA from 2 species